CGUUUAAAAAGCUCAUAGUUGGAUCUGUUUGAGUAUAACGGUAACAUAGUGGUUAGUUAACACUUUCCACUCCUUACGCUCAUCCUUCGCAUCGAAGAAGCACCUUGCACUUAAAUGUGACGAGGCGUGGAAACGGUGUUUUCACUUUGAGAAAAUUAGAGUGUUCAAAGCAUCCUUUGGGAUUGAAUAAUCAAGCAUGGAAUAAUGGAGAAUGACCCGCGUUUUACUGAUGCCGGUGGCUAAAGUGCGGUAAUGAUUGAAAGGAACAGCCGGGGGCAUUUGUAUUGCUACGUUAGAGGUGAAAUUCUUGGAUCGUGGCAAGACAAACUACUGCGAAAGCAUUUGCCAAGAAUGUUUUCUUUAAUCAAGAACGAAAGUUAGAGUAUUGAAGAGGAUUAGAUACCCUCGUAAUUCUAACCAUAAACUAUACCAACUUACGAUUUGUCAAAGUCUUUUCUGACUUGUCAAGAAAUUAACCGGGAAACCAAAGUUUAUUGGUUCCGGGGGAAGUAUGGUUGCAAAAUCGAAACUUAAAGGAAUUGACGGAAGGGCACCACCAGGAGUGGAGCCUGCGGCUUAAUUUGACUCAACACGGGAAAUCUCACCAGGUCCAGACAUCUUAAGGAUUGACAGAUUGAUUAUCUUUCAUGAUUAUAUGGGCGGUGGUGCAUGGCCGUUCUUAGUUAGUGGAGUGAUCUGUCUGGUUAAUUCCGAUAACGAACGAGAUCUUGAUCAUUUAAAUAGUGCCAUUCUCGUUAGAGUUUUGGUAACUUCUUAGAGGAACUAUGUGCAAUUAAAUAGCACAAGUGAAGUGAGGCUAUAACAGGUCUGUGAUGCCCUUAGAUGUCCUGGACUGCACGCGCGCUACACUGUUGGCUUUAAAUUGAGGGAUAACCUUGGCCUAUCUGGUCCGGGUAAUCACCUAAAAGUCAAAAGCGUGAAGGGGAUCGAAUGUUGUAACUUGCAUUCGUGAACCAGGAAUUCCUAGUACUCAGUAGUCAACAACUACUGGGGAUUACGUCCCUGCCCUUUGUACACACCGCCCGUCGCUACUACUGAUUGGAUGUUUAAGCAAGAAUUGCGGAACCCUGUCGCUGAGACUUCGGUCCUGGCAAUGGGUGGAAGCGGAUCGAGCUUAAUUGUCUA
rnacentral:rRNA from 1 species